rnacentral:piRNA from 1 species
UGAUACGAACGAACCAUCAGAACCACA